GAAUAUAGAGGUCAGUGGAAAUAAGAAAGAGAAGUAUCUAAAACAAAAGACAUGCCAGUGACGUCACGCACAAAAUGAAAGAGACAGACACAUAAAUAAGAAAGAGAAGAAUAUCUAAAACAAAAGACAUGCCAGUGACGUCACGCACAAAAUGAAAGAGAUAGAUAUAGGAAUAGAAAGAGAAGAAUAUUCAAAACAAAAGACAUGCCAUGACGUCACGCACAAAAUGAAAGAGACAGAUAUAGAAAUAAGAAAGAGAAGAAUAUCUAAAACAAAAGACAUGCCAGUGACGUCACUCACAAAAUGAAAAAGAUAGAUAUAGGAAUAAAAAGAGAAGAAUAUUCAAAACAAAAGACAUGCCAGUGACGUCACACACAAAAUGAAAGAGAUAGAUAUAGGAAUAAGAAAGAGAAGAAUAUCUAAAACA